rnacentral:ncRNA from 1 species
GGCCGUUCCAGGGAGAUCCCCGGCAAGGGGCUGAGACACCGCUGGAUCGUGAGCCCCCCUGGCUCCGGUCGGCGCGGAAAUCCUUCGAACCUGAUCCGGCUCAUACCGGCGUAGGGAUUGGACAGGUCCGUCAGG